AUUGAACGCUGGCGGCAGGCCUAACACAUGCAAGUCGAGCGAGCGGCGGACGGGGGAGGAAUGUAUGGAGAUAUGCCCGAUAGAGGGGGAUAACUACUGGAAACGGUGGCUAAUACCGCAUACUAUCGGAUGAACCCAUAUGGGAUUAGCUAGUAGGUGGGGUAAAGGCUCACAUGGGCGAAGAUCUCUAGCUGGUCUGAGAGGAUGACCAGCCACACUGGGACUGGGACACGGCCCAGACUCCUACGGGAGGCAGCAGGGGGGAAUAUUGCACAAUUGGCGCAAGCCUGAUGCAGCCAUGCCGCGUGUAUGAAGAAGGCCUUCGGGUUGUAAAGUUCUUUCGGUAGCGAGGCGUUAACUACAGAAGAAGCACCGGCUAACUCCGUGCCAGCAGCCGCGGUAAUUC
rnacentral:rRNA from 1 species